rnacentral:rRNA from 1 species
AACUGUUUAUCUAGAGUGCUGGAGAGGCAAGUGGAAUUCCUAGUGUAGCGGUGAAAUGCGUAGAUAUUAGGAGGAACACCAGUGGCGAAGGCGGCUUGCUGGACAGUAACUGACGUUGAGGCUCGAAAGCGUGGGGAGCAAACAGGAUUAGAUACCCUGGUAGUCCACGCCGUAAACGAUGACUGCUAGGUGUCGGGUGGCAAAGCCAUUCGGUGCCGCAGCUAACGCAAUAAGCAGUCCACCUGGGGAGUACGUUCGCAAGAAUGAAACUCAAAGGAAUUGACGGGGGCCCGCACAAGCAGUGGAGUAUGUGGUUUAAUUCGAAGCAACGCGAAGAACCUUACCAGGGCUUGACAUAUACAGGAAUAUCAUAGAGAUAUGAUAGCUUUUCGGAGUCUGUAAACAGGUGGUGCAUGGUUGUCGUCAGCUCGUGUCGUGAGAUGUUGGGUUAAGUCCCGCAACGAGCGCAACCCUUGUGAUUAGUUGCCAGCACGUAAAGGUGGGAACUCUAAUCAGACUGCCGGUGAUAAAUCGGAGGAAGGUGGGGACGACGUCAAAUCAUCAUGCCCUUUAUGUCCUGGGCUACACACGUACUACAAUGGUCGUAACAAAGAGAAACGAAACAGUGAUGUGGAGUGAAACUUAAAAAGCGAUCUCAGUUCGAAUUGAAGGCUGAAAUUCGCCUUCAUGAAGUCGGAAUUGCUAGUAAUGGCAGGUCAGCAUACUGCCGUGAAUACGUUCCCGGGCCUUGUACACACCGCCCGUCACACCAUGAGAGUUGGAGAUACCCGAAGCCUAUGAGCUAACUUUAAGAGGCAGUAGUCGAAGGUAGAAUCAAUGAUUGGGGUGAAGUCGUAACAAAGGUAGCCGUAAAGCC